rnacentral:misc_RNA from 1 species
ACAAACUUGGUCAUUUAGAGGAAGUAAAAGUCGUAACAAGGUCUCCGUUGGUGAACCAGCGGAGGGAUCAUUAUCGAGUUUUCAACUCCCAAACCCUAUGUGAACUUACCAUAUGUUGCUUCGGCGGCUCCCUCUGGCCGUAAAACGUCAGACGCCGCCGAAGGUUUUUCAAACUCUUCUGUUUUUUACAGUAUUCUCUGAGUGGCCGAAAGGCAACAAAACAAAUGAAUCAAAACUUUCAACAACGGAUCACUUGGUUCUGGCAUCGAUGAAGAACGCAGC